rnacentral:rRNA from 1 species
GACGAACGCUGGCGGCGUGCUUAACACAUGCAAGUCGAACGGAAAGGCCCUUCGGGGUACUCGAGUGGCGAACGGGUGAGUAACACGUGGGUGAUCUGCCCUGCACUUUGGGAUAAGCCUGGGAAACUGGGUCUAAUACCGAAUAGGACCACGCGCUUCAUGGUGUGUGGUGGAAAGCUUUUGCGGUGUGGGAUGGGCCCGCGGCCUAUCAGCUUGUUGGUGGGGUAAUGGCCUACCAAGGCGACGACGGGUAGCCGGCCUGAGAGGGUGACCGGCCACACUGGGACUGAGAUACGGCCCAGACUCCUACGGGAGGCAGCAGUGGGGAAUAUUGCACAAUGGGCGCAAGCCUGAUGCAGCGACGCCGCGUGAGGGAUGACGGCCUUCGGGUUGUAAACCUCUUUCAAUAGGGACGAAGCGCAAGUGACGGUACCUAUAGAAGAAGCACCGGCCAACUACGUGCCAGCAGCCGCGGUAAUACGUAGGGUGCGAGCGUUGUCCGGAAUUACUGGGCGUAAAGAGCUCGUAGGUGGUUUGUCGCGUUGUUCGUGAAAACUCACAGCUUAACUGUGGGCGUGCGGGCGAUACGGGCAGACUAGAGUACUGCAGGGGAGACUGGAAUUCCUGGUGUAGCGGUGGAAUGCGCAGAUAUCAGGAGGAACACCGGUGGCGAAGGCGGGUCUCUGGGCAGUAACUGACGCUGAGGAGCGAAAGCGUGGGGAGCGAACAGGAUUAGAUACCCUGGUAGUCCACGCCGUAAACGGUGGGUACUAGGUGUGGGUUCCUUCCUUGGGAUCCGUGCCGUAGCUAACGCAUUAAGUACCCCGCCUGGGGAGUACGGCCGCAAGGCUAAAACUCAAAGGAAUUGACGGGGGCCCGCACAAGCGGCGGAGCAUGUGGAUUAAUUCGAUGCAACGCGAAGAACCUUACCUGGGUUUGACAUGCACAGGACGCCGGCAGAGAUGUCGGUUCCCUUGUGGCCUGUGUGCAGGUGGUGAAUGGCUGUCGUCAGCUCGUGUCGUGAGAUGUUGGGUUAAGUCCCGCAACGAGCGCAACCCUUGUCCUAUGUUGCCAGCGAGUUAUGCCGGGGACUCGUAGGAGACUGCCGGGGUCAACUCGGAGGAAGGUGGGGAUGACGUCAAGUCAUCAUGCCCCUUAUGUCCAGGGCUUCACACAUGCUACAAUGGCCGGUACAAAGGGCUGCGAUGCCGUGAGGUGGAGCGAAUCCUUUCAAAGCCGGUCUCAGUUCGGAUCGGGGUCUGCAACUCGACCCCGUGAAGUCGGAAUCGCUAGUAAUCGCAGAUCAGCAACGCUGCGGUGAAUACGUUCCCGGGCCU